rnacentral:rRNA from 1 species
GUAGUCAUAUGCUUGUCUCAAAGAUUAAGCCAUGCAUGUCUAAGUACAUACCUUUGCACGGUGAAACCGCGAAUGGCUCAUUAAAUCAGUUAUGGUUCCUUAGAUCGUUCAUAUUACAUGGAUAACUGUGGUAAUUCUAGAGCUAAUACAUGCAAAAAGCUCCGACCGUAUGGGAAGAGCGCUUUUAUUAGACCAAAACCAAUGGGGUCGCAAGAUCCCUUUGUAUGGUGACUCUGGAUAACUUUGUGCCGAUCGCAUGGCCUCGAGCCGGCGACGUAUCUUUCAAAUGUCUGCCCUAUCAACUUUCGAUGGUAAGCGAUUUGCCUACCAUGGUUGCAACGGGUAACGGGGAAU